UUGAAUUGAAGAGUUUGAUCAUGGCUCAGAUUGAACGCUGGCGGCAGGCUUAACACAUGC
rnacentral:rRNA from 1 species